AAAGAAAUGACAACAAACCUGCUAACACUUUUCACAAGGCUUGAAAAUGGGCUGUAACCUCAGGCUAGAGUCAGAAAGUGCUGGCGCACAGAAAUUAGAAGAACUAAAUACUACUUACUUGGUCUUGAAAAUUACAUUGCCACUUCCGUUCACCGGAGCUGCUUGGAGCCUGCAGCGAAAGACUCCUCUCAGGCCCCAGCAAAGUCGAGCUCCAGCGUAUUCAAGGAGGCCGCACUCCCUUUUUUUACAGCACUUGCUGCUGUCAAGCAGACAGGACUUCUCUUGACUAAGCGCCCUGGCUCUGCUUUACGAUUGUUGGUCUGGAUGACACCUCUCCGUGUCGAAUUCAUCACGGAACGAGUGCAGUGGUUGCUGGAUCUUUCUGUGCUCAGGUCACUGUAAGCAGAGAAGAGGAUGUUCUGGAGACGUGUGCCAUUUUUGGUGACAACCAUGCCCAUGGAACUUGGGCUUGUCCUACGCUACUGCCGGCUGGGGAUCAGGCUAAAUCCUACAAGAGAAGGGGCUGAAAUUUUGCACAAGGAAGACAAAGUUUAUGACUAAGAUUGAUGACGUGUGCUGAAUGGACUGUCAAAUCAAUUUGUAAGCUAUGUAUUAGUUGUAUCUGACAUUUAAUGUGUAAUUUAUAGUUUAUCAACAGCAAUUUGCCAAAUAAUUCAAGCUUAACUUAUACUGACCCUGGCUUUUAGGGUACAGGUGGUUACCUAAC